AGGAGGCAGCAGUGAGGAAUCUUGCGCAAUGGGCGAAAGCCUGACGCAGCGACGCCGCGUGCGGGAAGAAGGCCUUCGGGUUGUAAACCGCUUUCAGGAGGGACGAAGCUACUCGGGUUAAUAGCCCAGAGGGUGACGGUACCUCCAGAAGAAGCCCCGGCUAACUACGUGCCAGCAGCCGCGGUAAUACGUAGGGGGCUAGCGUUGUCCGGAUUUAUUGGGCGUAAAGCGCGUGUAGGCGGCCAGGUAGGUCCGUUGUGAAAACUCGAGGCUCAACCUCGAGAGGCCGGCGGAAACCAUCUGGCUAGAGUCCGGAAGAGGAGAGUGGAAUUCCCGGUGUAGCGGUGAAAUGCGCAGAUAUCGGGAAGAACACCCGUGGCGAAGGCGGCUCUCUGGGACGGUACUGACGCUGAGACGCGAAAGCGUGGGGAGCGAACAGGCUUAGAUACCCUGGUAGA
rnacentral:rRNA from 1 species